rnacentral:lncRNA from 1 species
AAGCUCCGGUGGAAAGUCGGAGAAGCCAAAGGUGAGGUCGAAGGCGAAGGAGAAGGUGAAGGACGAGGUAGAGGAUGCGGAGGAGAGUCGAUUUGUUGGAGAUCCGGUUCCUGCCGAAGAAGCUCGACAGCGAUGGCCUCUUAGGUACCUGCAAAAAAAUGUGAGGGUUUCUUUGACUCAGCUUGACUUUUAACUUGGCGUACCACAAAUUUGGUUUUGGUUGUGUGGAGUGGAAUGUAGAUUAAAUAUUAGGGUACCUAAUCAACUAUUAACCGGUGGAAUACCUUUAAUUGACGUGAAUAGGGUUUUAGCUGAUGUUGCAUACGUGCAAAUCAUCUAACAGAGGCUAUAGUUGCUCACGAAAGUGUAGACAUCUAGCAUAUUUUUUUUAGUAGACAAACUCAUAAUAAUAUAUGACAUUUACUUUAGGUAUGCUUGUUAUACAUCUAUAGCUGUAAACAUUGCUAAAGUAGUUCUAUGAUGCCUCUCAUGGAUUUGAAUGCUCACUAGUAACAAACUUGAUUGCUGUAAAAUCUGCUUAAUCUGUUAUCAACCAUGCCAAGCUAUGGAUUAUAGUCUUACUCUUCAAAUGUUUAGAUUAUAUCAAUCUGUGGAUCAAAGCUUCUUUCAUAUGUUUAAGUUUGGUAGAUUACUACACAUAGAUUUAAUCACAUAUUUAAUUAUUUUUCUGGAAUUACAGAAGGCUGGAAAGACAGAGAGCUUGGAAACCCCAAAAGGGUAAGAACAUUAUUCUAUUGAUUAAAGUAGUAAAACUAAAAAGGCAAUCAUUAAGUCUUGUUUUUGUGAAGUGGAUAAAUAAAUUGUGUCAUAUUAUAGGGUGGAGCCACCAAAGGAGCUUAUGCAAGCUAAAAGACACUUUACUGAAGCACUUGUUGAUGGCCGUGUUCUGUUCAAGCUUGGAGACGAUGGUUAUGUCCAGGUACCUUUUUGUCUACUUUUAAGUUGUUUUUAUGUGUGACACUUACUGUUUGUGUUCUCACUUAAAAAAUUAAAAGUCAAAAAUCCAUGUUUUCUCCAUAUUUUAGUAACUAAAGUUUAUCUAAGUAAGAUUAUUUGCUUUUUUAUACAGGCUGGUGAGGGUGAAGACAGUUACAUCUGUAGAGUUGUAGAGAUGUUUGAAGGAGUGGAUGGAACUUCAUAUUUUAGUGCUCAAUGGUUCUACAGGGCUAAAGAUACAGUAAGCUUUUCACUAAACUAUGCUUCUUGACUUAAUUAUUUGAUAGUUUAGUGUCUUUUCUUCCUAACACAGACCUUUCUUUUUGCCUUUUUCAGAUUAUUCAAGCUUGUUCAAACUUAAUUGAUGAUAAGCGUGUCUUCCUUUCUGAAAUCAGGGAUGACAAUCCUCUUGAUUGCCUCUUGCAAAAGCUUCAAAUAGUGCGGGUGCCUUUAGAUGUAAGAAAUGAUGACAUAUUUUCAUUUCUUAUCAUUAUAGCAUUGCAGUUUUCAGUUUUCUUAUUAUAGCAUCACACUUAGAAAAAAUCUACCCAAUUAUAACAGUUAAAAUUCCUUUCUAUAUGGAUGAUGUUGCCGUAGUAUUGGUUCUAAUAAGUAAAAAAAUGUGAGAUUCUAUAAGAAACAAUGUAAUAAAAGUAGUUAGCUCUUGCAUUUAGUUAUUUUAUUUGAUCUUUUGUGUAAUUUUGGUUGUUUUUUAGGCUGAUGUAAGUGAGAAGCAAGCAAAACUUGGUGAUGGAGACUACUACUAUGACAUGUCAUACUUGGUGCCUUAUUCAACUUAUCAGAACUUGCCACCUGGUACAUUUUCCUAUAUCAAACUGAAUGAUGUAUAUAUAUUAUUAUUUAAACUAUAAUUUUAGCAAGUGAUUAAUCUUUGCAUACGCUUUAACAACAAACUGCAGAUGCUGAAGCAGAUGGGAAUGAGUCCGAUUCAACCAUUUCAUCUGAGUCUGAUGUUAAUGGAGCUGUUAAUGAAGAAUCUCAAAGUCAAAACAACAAAAGAUCAGAAAUGAGAAUGCUAGAUCUUUACUCAGGUUGUGGGGCUAUGUCUACAGGACUUUGUUUGGGUGCUAAUAUGGCUGAUGUUAACCUUGUCACUGUAUGUAUCAAUAAAAUGGUGAAAAUUUAAGUGCCUACCUUUUAGCUUCAUGAUCCAUAACUCUUGAUUUUAUUUUAUAUUGUAAAUGCAGAGGUGGGCUGUUGAUUUGAAUCAAUAUGCAUGUCAAAGCUUGAAGCUGAACCAUCCAGAGACAGAGGUGAGGAAUGAAUCAGC